rnacentral:rRNA from 1 species
CCUACGGGAGGCAGCAGUGAGGAAUAUUGGUCAAUGGGCUUACGCCUGAACCAGCCAAGUCGCGUGAGGGAAGACUGCCCUAUGGGUUGUAAACCUCUUUUGUCAGGGAGCAAUUGGCGCUACGUGUAGCGUUAUCGAGAGUACCUGAAGAAAAAGCAUCGGCUAACUCCGGCCCAGCAGCCGCGGUAAUACGGAGGAUGCGAGCGUUAUCCGGAUUUAGUGGGUUUAAAGGGUGCGUAGGCGGAAUGCCAAGUCAGCGGUAAAAUCGCGGGGCUAAACCUCGCUUCGCCGUUGAAACUGGCGUUCUUGAGUGGGCGAGAGGUAUGCGGAAUGCGUGGUGUAGCGGUGAAAUGCAUAGAUAUCACGCAGAACUCCGAUUGCGAAGGCAGCAUACCGGCGCCCAACUGACGCUGAAGCACGAAAGCGUGGGUAUCGAACAGGAUUAGAUACCCUAGUAGUC